rnacentral:tRNA from 1 species
GCGGCGGUAGCUCAGCCUGGUUGGAGCGCCCGGCUCAUAACCGGGAGGACCCGGGUUCAAAUCCCGGCCGCCGCA